GACGAACGCUGGCGGCGUGCUUAACACAUGCAAGUCGAACGGAAAGGCCUGCUUUCCCCUGUGGAUUGCGGGGACUCGAGCGGCGAACGGGUGAGUAAAACGUGAGUGAACAGCACCCAACUUGGGUAUAAGCCCGGGAAACUGGGCCUAAUUCCCGAUAGGACGGCAGGGUGGUGAAUGUGGUGGAAAACGAUGUGUUAGUGGUUGGGGAUGAGCUCGCGGCCUAGCAGCUUGUUGGUGGGGUAAUGGCCUACCAAGGCGGCGACGGGUAGCCGGCCUGUGAUGGUGGACGUCGACAUUGAGACUGGGCUACGACCCAGACGCCUGCACGCAGCAGCGGUUGUUACUAUUGGGCGGAGAGCGGGAGCCUGCAGCAGCGACGCCGCGUGGAAGAUGACGGGCUUCUGGUUGUAAGCUCCUUUCGACCUCGAGAACGCCACCUGGUUGGGAGGAUGGUGACGGUACUUGUAGAGAAAGCACCGGCUAACUACGUG
rnacentral:rRNA from 1 species